UUUCAUCCACGGGCACACUUGUUACCCAGAGUCCUGAUGUCUCUGUCAUGGAGGGGGACACAGUAAACAUAACCUGCUGCUGGACAGGAGUAACAAGACUGAGAGUUACCUGGCUGAAAAAUGAAACAGAUAAUAAGACUGGGAAUUUCUCCCUCAAAAACUGCUCUCAAGGACCUCUGAUAAUACAGACAUCUAACUGCUCAUACUUAACCUUCAUGAAUGUCACAACAGAGGAUUCAGGGAGAUACAUCUGUAAGGUGACUGUGGAGAUACCAUUUUUUGCCGAGGUUGAAGGAAACGGUACUGUCAUCACAGUUACGGACAGAAGCAACACGAAGGAUGACACAGCAGGAGAUUCUCGUGGAAGUGUGGAGGAAGUGUUCAUUACUGUCCUGAGGUACCUGUGCAUUCUUGCCCUCGUCAUAACUGUCUUCUGCAUCAACAAGUUAACAAGCAAAUCUUAGCAACACACACCAGCUGCUCCAGGAAAUGAGCUCACUUCAGUCAAAAGAACCAACGAAGAAGAAGAGGCGAGAGAUGAGAGGGAAAUGGAAACAGAGUGAAAAUAAAAAAGGAUGACUGAAUUGUCUUGAUUGGGACACAAAGUCAACAUGUGUCAGCCAUGGACGGAUUAUGAGACAAUGGGCCCCAGGGCACAGACAUGCAAAUG